rnacentral:rRNA from 1 species
GACGAACGCUGGCGGCGUGCUUAACACAUGCAAGUCGAACGGCAGCACGGGUGCUUGCACCUGGUGGCGAGUGGCGAACGGGUGAGUAAUACAUCGGAACGUACCUUAUCGUGGGGGAUAACGCAGCGAAAGCUGUGCUAAUACCGCAUACGCCCUGAGGGGGAAAGCGGGGGAUCGCAAGACCUCGCGCGAUUAGAGCGGCCGAUGCCUGAUUAGCUUGUUGGUGGGGUAAAAGCCCACCAAGGCGACGAUCAGUAGCUGGUCUGAGAGGAAGGUCAGCCACCCUGGGAAUGAGACACGGCCCAGCCUCCUACGGGAGGCAGCAGUGGGGAAUUUUGGACAAUGGGGGCAACCCUGAUCCAGCAAUGCCGCGUGAUUGAAGAAGGCCUUCGGGUUGUAAAGCGCUUUUGUCAGGGAAGAAACACCGGCUCUAACACAGUCCGGGAAUGACGGUACCUGAAGAAUAAGCACCGGCUAACUACGUUCCAGCCUCCGCCGUAA